CGUAGAAAAGAGAUCACUGGAGAUCAACCACACAUCACAAAGACGGUUCCUCGUAGGGAGCUCUGUUCCACCACAGACAGAUUAGGACAAAUUUCAGGAGAACCGUCAUCUCAGACAUUCUGGAAUCUUUCCUUUUCACAAUGGCCUGGUUCCAACACAGAGCAGCAACCAAAACCAGAAAGAAGCAUUUGCUCAGACAUUUUGGACCAUCUAAUGAAACAUGACCCAAAUGAAAGAUGAAGAGCUGCUGCUCUGCUUGGUCUGCCACACUACAUAUCAGGCGAAGAUCCAUCAGCUGUCAGGAUGUGUGAUGAAAGACCAAAAUAAUAAUAAUAAUAAU